UUUGUUCCCGCUUUAAUUCCUAAUGGUGUCAGUUUCAUUUUGCAAGAGUUGUAUGGAAAUAAUGUACAAUAAUUUUAUUUUUAACGUCGCUUUCUGAAUUGAAUAUCUGAGAAUUUGGUGCUAAAAGUUUUUGGUAAGAUGAAGUUCAAAAACAAAUCUUUUAGUUAAGAUAAGAAAGGUUUAGCAGUUUAAAACACCUCUCGGCUUUGUACGUGUGAGUAUAUUGUUAUUUUUACGUAGAUGUCUUCAUGAAUUUUACGACCCGAUUGUGAUAAAGGCAAAAUUUGUGAUGUUAGUAAAGGACACGGGCCAGUAUAAAUAUUAUAAUAUUUUAGCUUUUGUGAUAGAGUUGUAAGAUAUACUCAGAUUAGGGUUUGAAAGUUUUGAAUAUAAUUUUUCAUUAUAGUGGAACUCUUUCCCUUAUCUUGCCUGUAGACAUAAACUUUACGGUGGUCUAACUACGUUAAAUCCUGUAUUAUUCUUUUACUCUUUUUUAUACUAUGUAAUUGUGCUAUUUGUGUGUCUUAGAUUUGCGUACCUACUUAUAACAUAUAGGCUGUGAUUUUUUUAUGGGUACCCUUUGAUGUGUUUUUAGCUUGGCAUUGCCAGGUGCCUCUGCUGGCACAUAUUUCAAG
rnacentral:misc_RNA from 1 species